AAAAAAAAAAAAAAAAAGUAAAAAGAAAAUACAUCCCUUUUGAGGGGAUGUCACCUUGCGGGGUUGUAGCUUGAUAUUAUGGGCUGAAUUGUGUCCACACCCUCUAUCCCCCACCAAAUUUCGUAGAUUGAAGCCCUAAUCUGUAGUGCUCCAGAAUCUGACUGUGUUUGGAGAUAGGGUUGUUAAAACCGUCAUUCAGGUUAAAUGAGGUCAUCAGGGGGGACCCUAAUCCAAAAUGACUGGUGUCCUCAUAGGAAGAGGAGACUAGGGCACAGGCAUGGAGGAAGGCCGUGGAAAGGCUCAGGGAGAAGACGACCUUCUGCAAGCCAAGGAGAGAGACCUUAGGGGAAAACAUCUGCUAACAUCUCCAUCGCAGACUUUCAGCCGCCAGAACUGGCUGCUCAGAUCCCAUUAUGGAUGGUCUGUGGAGUAGUUGAGACAGAGUUAUUGGACAGGCUCAGUGGAAGGAAAUUUCCUUGUCUCAGGUUUUUCUUUUGUCCAGCCACCUCUCUAAACUGUUUGACUUCUGCAGUUGUUUUUCAGGGGGAAGAGAAUACUGAGAUGGAUUUAAUGAAAUUACAUUUUCCAAGAAGCCUCUUGAACAGAAUGAAGUUCUUCAUUUGCCACUAAACUUUCCUCCUUGACUGAGCUCACUGAUGGUUUCUUUAAUAUGCAGAGAAAGGAUCUCCUUCUGCCAUGAACCUGAGGAUGCCCAGUGGCUGACUAUACUUGCCACAAACAACUCCAAGAUGGUUAAUAUGAACAGAUAUUCCGAAAGGAGUUUGCCACUUUUCUGUAUCCACAAAGAAAAUGUACAUUCCUUACAGAUCUUUCUAUGUGAGCACUUUAGAAAUAAUAAAGGUAUCUUAAAAUUGAAGAAGAAAAAUAGAAGAGAAAAACUACCCACCCUAUCCUCCACCCUCAACAAUAGAAUUUUAAAUAUUUUUUAAUUGUAAUUACAAUGGAUAAUUAUUGAGGAUGAUGAUAUACUGAUAUAUUUCUGCCAAAUGUAUGAUGAGAAUCAUUGAUUGUGUUUUCCUGUUUAUUGUUGUGGAUAAUAACAGGAAAUUUUCAUUGAGUCCAAUAAAUCUCUGGGGAAGAUGGAAUUGUGACACCCUUGAGGUUUAGUGUUAUAGAACUUAUUUAAUAGAGAAACUUACAUAAAUUUGCCCUGUUGAUAGGAAAGGACACUAAAGAGAAACAAUGAAAGAAAAGAAUGUUUGGACUUGUAACCUGGACUCAACACAAGGGCUGAUGUGACCUGGGGGUAGGAAUUUCCUCCUGGGAUUGUGCCUCUGUCUAUAAGCUCCAAUAGACCCAUAUCCUGACAGUAUAGCUGGGUUAGAGACAAGAAUACAGAAUCCGUAAUAUUGGAAGCCCAAGCCUCUUCAGUACUCAGUGCACUUUUAUGACAAGGUCACCAUGGGCUACUCAAAUCAGUGUUAAAUAAUGGCGUCAUUUAAUAGUAACUGAACCAUAGCAGUGGAAAUUAAGGGCACACUGGUGGACUGAUGAGGUACUACAUGACUCUGUUAACUAAGGGCUUGGAGUCAAUAUCGAACCUUUGGAUCCCAGUGGU
rnacentral:lncRNA from 1 species